CCCUCCCCACGGAUCUGGAAAGACAGACUCUUAGAGCUGUGGUCGCCUGUGACACGCACGUGUCGUGAACGUGUGAAGCCGUGACCAGGAAGGAGCCUUUUCAGGGGACGAGCGAGAAGGGGACGGGAGCGGCAUGGAGGCCCUGGUCCCCUGGUGGCUGUGGC